ACAAUCUAUACAAGGAAACAAUAAGCUCUUUCCAGAGCAUAACAUUAUCAAAGUUGUACCUUUUCAACCAAUAAGCUACUAAUAAACUAUUGUAUAUAAAGGUAGACUAGCUUAUUAGUAGCUUCUUGAUUGAAAAGGUACAACUCUGAUAAUGUUAUGCUCUGGAAAGAGCUUAUUGUUUCCUUAUAUAAAUUGGCACAUAAAGACCUAAGUAUAUAAAGGUAGACUAGCUUGUAUUACAAUAUCAAGUAGAAAAGGUUUGAGCCUCCGGUCGAGCCUUUUCUGUGCUGCUAUAUGAUUGACGUGUCAUAUUUUAUCCGAAUUAGCCUUAUAAUAUUACUAAUUUACUACUUCAUUAUAGGAGGCACAGUUUGCCGGGUAUGUGUCAGAAUGUUCUGCUUAUCAUCACGGUGAAGAAAAUGUAGCAAAAAUAAUAGUAGGAAUGGCUCAAGAUUUUGCUGGAAGCAACAAUAUCAAUGUUUUGCGUCCCAAUGGCCAAUUCGGUACAAAAUUAGAGGGAGGCAAAGAUGCUGCUGUUGCAAGAUAUAUCUUCACAGAGUUAUCAAGUAUCACUCGCACGAUAUUCAAUGAAAAUGAUGAUAUUCUGCUCGAUUAUAUGCAUGAAAAUGGGCAAUCAGUUGAACCUAUACAAUAAGUAGCUAAGACUUGGUUUUAUUUUUAGGUAUUUGUUCAUCCUUCCAAUGAUUUUAGUCAAUGGAGGUGAAGGAGUUAGUGUUGGUUGGAGCACAAAGAUUCCAAGUUACAAUCCCCGAGAUAUUGUACGCAAUUUGAAACAUUUGAUGCGAUCAGAGAAGCUGGAAGAAAUGAAACCCUAGUUCAGACAGUUCCAUGUCAGUAGUACAUGUUUUUUUUACAACGCUGUUUUUAUCUUUAAAAAAAUCUAUUUUUUUGUUUUUUUAUAUGAACCAACAUGGAGAAGUCAGCAAAAUUACCAAGGGAUCACGUGUUACCUAUACCACCAGUGGUACCAUAGAUGUUAACGAUACUACACUAAAAAUAAGGGAGCUCCCAAUAAACACCUCCAUGGAAAAUUAUGAAAAUAAACUUAAAUCUUUUAUGGACGAAAAUGACAAAUUCAUCAAGGUAACUGAUUAAAUAGUAUGUUUUAAUCAUGAAAUGGUUGUUGUUCACUAGUCUCUAAUCAUAAUAAUUUUACAGAGGUAUGACAAAAUGCCAGGCAUAAAUGAUGUUGAAAUUGUGUUACACUUACAUGAGAAUUGGGAGAAUUUGACACAAGCCAACAAAGUAGAUCUUCUGAGGAAGUUGAGACUGAUAACCAACAUACGAACAUCAAAUAUGCAUUUGUUGGAUUCACAUGGCAAACUUCGAAAGUAUGACAGUCCAGAACAAAGUAUGUACUACCUUUUUGCUACAAGACCUCCAUUUUUCUUCUUUUUUUGGUUAUUGUAACUAAAUUGUGCCAUUUAUUUCAGUACUUAGGGAAUUCUUUGUCUUGAGGCUUGCUUUUUAUCAGAAAAGAAAAGUGUGUUUUCAUUUAAUAAUUGAAUGGCACAUAUUCUUUUGGACUAUGAUGUCACAUUUACUAAUUGUGUCAAUUUUGCAGGAAAUGCUACUGAAAAAGGCUCAGGAUAACUUGAAAAUGGUAAAGAACAAAAUUAUAUUUAUUAAAGCUGUUCACACUAAAAAAUCGAUUUCUAUCGCAUGAAUCAAAGAAUGCUACGUCUGGAGCUCAGAGGGCUGAGGUUGGAGACCGAGAAUCAGGAUAGUGCCAAAGCACAAGAAUUCAUAAGGGGAUAUGAAUACCUCUUGUCAAUGCCAAUUGGUAACUUUACUGCACAGAUGGUACAGGGGCUGCAGGCUGAAUGUGAAUGUCAAAAGAAGAAUAUCACUGAACUAGAGAGUACUUC